GUUCUGGAAGGUCAUUUGGGUUGUGGCCUGUAAUUGCUCGGCCAAGCCCUGGAGGGCAUCCCUGGUGUAGUUCACGAAGCGCUGUUGGUUGUAAUAGAUAUAAUUAAUCCAAUUAAGGUUUUUGUUGGCAGUGACUAUGGUAAAAAGUGAUUCAAAACCUGCAGCUACUUCAUCUCUAGCUUUAAAUUCAUUAGGCACCCCCCUAGGCACCCCAAUGGCAUCUAUGUAAAUGUGGGGGUCAAAACUGCCUUUUACUGGGGUUUCGCACCUUACUCUGGCUGAUGUAUGUGGAGGGUCGUAUGUGUCAUGAUGAUUAUCAGAAAUAAUAUGAAUGGGCAUGAUAACUUUGGCCAGGGUACACUCACCCUACCACUCAGUUUCCAGCCUAGAUCUUAACUGUAGAUCCCCACAUAACCAGUAAAUAUCCCCCAAUGACCUGGUAUGGUGUUGCGUAUAGGAACAGUUCUGUAAGUGGCGCAAUAACCUUUAGAAAAAUUACCCAUGAAUUUACCAAUCCCGUCAUACAUGGCAUAACAAGUGUAAUUACCUCUAUAGACUGUGAUUCCAUCUGGUGGCUUAACAUUUUCAACUAAGAGAGGGUAUUCUGCCGUCCAUGCCAUGCAGAGGGACCUAUUAAAGUCAUAUUGGUAGGCAAAAAGGCUUAAGAAGCAAUCUUCUAUCUCUAAAGGGAGAGUUAGGGGGACGGUGCCAAGGUGGGGUCGGGCACCGCCACAUACAUAACAUGCUGUUUUAUUAUGUUUGUUAGCAUUAUACCUCAUCCAUUCUAACCACAAAUUAAUGUCAUUGAAUCCAGUUUCAGCGGCCAUGGUAUCUUCAAAAGUGGGGUUAGCGAUGGCCAUCAUAUCUUUAAAGGACUGGAUAUGUGGUUUUAGCGGAUUUGGGACCAUAUGAUCAGCCCCUUGCCACUCUGGAGAGUGGGACAUAUCUCUGAGGUAGAAAUUACCUAAUUUGUUGUAGGAACCUUUCUUCCAAUACAUUCCCAUUACAUAUCGGUCUGCAUCCUCGGGGCCAGGAUGUUCAAUAUUUAACAUUAAUUUCAUAGGGGUACUUCCUCCAGGCUUUCUUAAAGUCAUUCUUUGAAGGAG
rnacentral:lncRNA from 1 species